CUGUCGGUUGCACCUCCCAGCGCUCCCGCCCCUGCCAAGCUCCGCCGUCUGGAUCCACAUCCCCAUGGCAGGAACGAGUCCUCCUCGAGGAGCCGCGCAUCCUCUACCUGCUCCAACUGCGCACGUCCUCUGCUAGGUCGACUCCCGCCGCCUACGACGAUCGCUGCCGUCAGAUAUGCUCCAACUUGAGCGCCCCCAGGUACUGAAGGGUAAUGGAUUUGAAGGUUGCUAUAUCUUGAGUUGUCCCAUUGUCUUACUAAAUUCAGGAUUCAACUUAGGAGGGUGUACAGAAUAUCCAGGUUUGUAUUGUUUCCGGUGUAUGUUGGUCAUGCAUCGGAUGUCACUCAGUUUCUAGGAAAUUCGAGAUGGCAUGUAAGCUUCUCCUAUUUGAUGUAUUUUUACUUUCUCAAAAUCUCUUUAUUAAUACCAAUGAUGAUUUUAUUUCUGCCUGAUGACUUGCUGUCAUAUUGUUCAGCAAAGAAACAGACAAACAAGGAGAGAAAACUUAAACAAGAGAGAUGUAUGAGGAUGUCAGCGUCUCAGCAAACAUGUAUUGUGUGAGGACACCCUUCGUCCGACCUAAUCUUGACGAUCAUCUGUAGGAAUCUACAGCGGCACUUCAAAAUUCCCAGGCUGUUUUCAUCAGCAAGCUUACAGCUGACCACAUGAUGGAACUCGAUAAUACUACACUGUACGAUGUACUUGAGAUUCCAAUGAAUACCCGUCGAAGCGAUGUGGUCAUCAGCAUGUAUGCUCUCAAUCUCCUGCUAGGGUAUUUUCUCUUAAACGAUGCUACUGUCACAUGAUGCAUAUCAUGGUUUUUUUGCGUGGUAAUUUGACCUGCACAACACUUGUUGCUAUUAUCCUUUCGAGGAUGCAGAAUGAUUCUUUUGGGGUGCCAAUUAUGCUAGCUUUAUAUUGCUGAAUGUAGGAGCUUAUUUUUUCUUGUUAGUUAUUCAAUGAUAUUGGGCAGGGCAUCUCAAUGAACUAUUCUUUCUAAUUCCUGGAGUUACAUGUGUGAUUGCUUAGACUCUUCUAAUAGUGUCAUAGUCUGGUUGGUUGCUUGGCUGAAAUAGUUUCUUACAGGCCUCGUUCUGGACCUGUUCCCACAUAUAUAGAAUAUAUUUUCUACUGCUUUCAUCAAACAAAAAAGUCAUAAACAUGAAAUAUUUAAAGUUUUGUCUCGUUCAUACUUUCUAGAAUCUGAAACUGUACUGAAAUCAUCAUAGAAAUUCCGCAAGAAUAUUAAAGGCACCCGUGUCAUUCAUCCCUACUAGAUGAUGAAUGCUAUUGCUAAUUUUUUUUCUCAAAGAUGCCUCAUUUUCAUGAAGAAGAAAGCUCAGUAGACUAAAAUUCCAUAUCAUUUCUUCUUUCUUAAGGAAAACUGACUGCAGGCAGCAAUCACAGAUGUUCAGCCUAUUUUCAGUUGACAAUAUACUGAAUAAUUUGGCAGUGAACAAGUACAGAAAACUCUGUUAAGAAGCGAUAGUUUUGAACCUGAGUUUACAAAAGAAAAUGUACCAAUUCGUGUUGAAAAUAUCUUAGGCAUCAAGUCCACCAGGUUUGAGAUGUUCACAGAAACAUGUCAGUUUCAGGCAACUACAAUUCAGAAUUGUUUGCCACACUGUAACGUUUCAGGAAAUCAGAAACAUUUCCCAUGAUGUUAAUAUGUUGACUAGGGGCCUUUUGUAGCUACUUUAAUGAAAAUUUUAGUACCACAGUGUCCUGCUGCAUAUAUUAAAUUGCAAAGGGAAAGUAAUAAAACUUAGGACUUGGUUGUCUAUCUGAUCCAUCAGUAAGCAAGCAGGGGCCAUGUUGUCAAGGAACAGAGUUCAAAAACCACCAAUCUCAGGAACACUCUGGCCAUGUAUUUGAUUCUGUUAAAGACCCAAUAUAUGAUACGAUGCUAUUUUCAUUUGCUAGGCAACAAUGAAAACGUUUCUGUCCAAUUCAUAAUUUAAAUUAGUCAUGUGUGUUCUUUUAUCCAGUUAUUACAAUUUUACUCAUGUGUCUUCUUUUAUUUAGUUCUGUGAGGAAGAAGGGAUUACAUCGAUGUGUAAUAUGUUCUUUGUUCUACAACCAUACCUACAUGGGAUUAUAGUUCAGUUAGAAAUCUGAGAUUAUUUUCCUCUAGAAAUGAGCAUUAGCCCUCAGAACAGAAACGAACUGCACAACUAUGCUCCUACUUAAUUACGCAUUAAUCAAUAUGUUCAUUAUUACAGUAAGGUUAGAAACUGCAUUUGUGUAUUUGUACCAAGCUUCCUUGCUCAUCUCAUUCUGUGCCUACCAUGUUGUAUGUCGGAAAGCUGUGGUUUUGAUAUAGAGCUAUAGUUCAUCUAUAUGUUUCUGCUGCCUAUAUAUUAUUGAUGUGUUUCCCUCACCUGCUAUUUGAAUGACAUAAUCCUUCAGAUCUUUCCCAAAUUUUAUGUUAAAGCUAACAAGACCCCCCCUUCCUGUAAAUACAACUUUGAACGAAGGAAAGCAAUACAGGGCCGCCUUUAUAUCUUGGGUCACACCAUAGCAGGGAGCAAGAGUGGGCACAUCUGAGUUCAGAUAUUCAGUCACUGUUUUCCAAUCCAUCUCAAGCUCCAUAGGUCCUUUGGAAACUUUUGCCAGAGCAGCCAAACCAGGGCUAUCCGGGCUUCAGCUUCCUCCACACUGUCGGAAACUGGUCUAUAAUAUGCAUGCUUUGCCGGUUCCCUGCAAGCACUUUCGGCCAUGACCUCAAGUUCUGUAGGUAGGCCGUGAAUGUUUUGAUCCUUCUCACCGUCCACCGAUGAUGGCCCGACAGAAAUCAGGGAAGGAGAAAAGGAUGUUGUUGUCAUGGUCGUCGGAACGACUUGCCGUGGAUGCAGUUAUGCACUGGAUGACAUCAACGGCUAGCCAUGGACGAGCACCUCGCUGCCUCCGCAAAAUAUGGAUGCACGGGAUUCUGCUACUAACAUUUCAGUGUGUUCUGUUGCGGUGCUGUGACAUAUACACCUUCAGCGCGCAUGUAAUGUUUGUCAACUACUACUUUAGAUAAAUAACCACUGUAUUCUAUUGUAUGUGUAAUUGAAAUGUUCAUGUGUUUAAUCAUCUGGCAAAGAGGCUCACUGGAUGUUUCUUAUAAUAUUCUAUCUGUAAUAGACAUGUACGCAUGUAUUUAACCAUCUGGCAAAGAGGCUCA